rnacentral:pre_miRNA from 1 species
UCUAGGAAGCGGAACAAAGAGAGGGUGUAAGAGUAGUGGGACCGAGAACACGGAGGAAAGACUAAUCAGUUUGGGAUUUUCCUAAUGCCUCUCAUUCCUAUCGUUCUUAGGCGCUCCUUCAUAUUCCUUUUUGUU